rnacentral:rRNA from 1 species
GCAUAUCAAUAAGCGAGGAAAAGAAACCAACCGGGAUUGCCCUAGUAACGGCGAGUGAAGCGGCAACAGCUCAAAUUUGAAAUCUGGCUCUUUUAGAGUCCGAGUUGUAAUUUGCAGAGGGCGCUUUGGCUUUGGCAGCGGUCCAAGUUCCUUGGAACAGGACGUCACAGAGGGUGAGAAUCCCGUACGUGGUCGCUGGCUAUUGCCGUGUAAAGCCCCUUCGACGAGUCGAGUUGUUUGGGAAUGCAGCUCUAAAUGGGAGGUACAUUUCUUCUAAAGCUAAAUAUUGGCCAGAGACCGAUAGCGCACAAGUAGAGUGAUCGAAAGAUGAAAAGCACUUUGGAAAGAGAGUCAAACAGCACGAGAAAUUGUUGAAAGGGAAGCGCUUGCAGCCAGACUUGCUUGCAGUUGCUCAUCCGGGCUUUUGCCCGGUGCACUCUUCUGCAGGCAGGCCAGCAUCAGUUUGGGCGGUAGGAUAAAGGUCUCUGUCACGUACCUCUCUUCGGGGAGGCCUUAUAGGGGAGGCGACAUACUACCAGCCUGGACUGAGGUCCGCGCAUCUGCUAGGAUGCUGGCGUAAUGGCUGUAAGCGGCCCGUCUUGAAACACGGACC